rnacentral:rRNA from 1 species
UACAGAGGGUGCGAGCGUUGUUCGGAAUUAUUGGGUGUAAAGGGCGCGUAGGCGGUGCGGUAAGUCACCUGUGAAAUCUCCUGGCUCAACUGGGAGCUUGCAGGCGAAACUGCCGUGCUGGAGUGUAGGAGAGGUGCGUGGAAUUCCUGGUGUAGCGGUGAAAUGCGUAGAUAUCAGGAGGAACACCUGUGGCGAAAGCGGCGCACUGGACCACAACUGACGCUGAGGCGCGAAAGCUAGGGGAGCAAACAGG